rnacentral:rRNA from 1 species
GUCGAGCGAACAGACGAGGAGCUUGCUCCUCUGACGUUAGCGGCGGACGGGUGAGUAACACGUGGAUAACCUACCUAUAAGACUGGGAUAACUUCGGGAAACCGGAGCUAAUACCGGAUAAUAUAUUGAACCGCAUGGUUCAAUAGUGAAAGACGGUUUUGCUGUCACUUAUAGAUGGAUCCGCGCCGCAUUAGCUAGUUGGUAAGGUAACGGCUUACCAAGGCAACGAUGCGUAGCCGACCUGAGAGGGUGAUCGGCCACACUGGAACUGAGACACGGUCCAGACUCCUACGGGAGGCAGCAGUAGGGAAUCUUCCGCAAUGGGCGAAAGCCUGACGGAGCAACGCCGCGUGAGUGAUGAAGGUCUUCGGAUCGUAAAACUCUGUUAUUAGGGAAGAACAAAUGUGUAAGUAACUAUGCACGUCUUGACGGUACCUAAUCAGAAAGCCACGGCUAACUACGUGCCAGCAGCCGCGGUAAUACGUAGGUGGCAAGCGUUAUCCGGAAUUAUUGGGCGUAAAGCGCGCGUAGGCGGUUUUUUAAGUCUGAUGUGAAAGCCCACGGCUCAACCGUGGAGGGUCAUUGGAAACUGAAAAACUUGAGUGCAGAAGAGGAAAGUGGAAUUCCAUGUGUAGCGGUGAAAUGCGCAGAGAUAUGGAGGAACACCAGUGGCGAAGGCGACUUUCUGGUCUGUAACU